AAAAUAAAUAAUAAAUUGGGCUUGACAAAUAGUAAAAGUCCCAAAUUGCAAAUGACUCAUCUUCUUCUUCUUCUUCUUCUUCACCGGAUGAGAAUCUAGGGUUCCAGAUUUACUCUCUUCUCCUUCUCAUCGAUCUACACAUCCUGGAUCUUCAAUCUCAAGGUACCUGUUUAGCUUCCAUGGCGAAAACUCGACCUGGUGUCCCCUCGAAAAUCAAAACUGGGAGGAAGGAGCUCGACUCUUACACCAUCAAAGGCACCAACAAGCUCGUCAGAGCUGGAGAUUGCGUGUUGAUGCGUCCCUCAGAUGCUGGUAAGCCACCGUACGUGGCUCGUGUUGAGAAGAUCGAAGCGGACGCUAGGAACAACGUGAAGGUGCACUGUCGGUGGUAUUACCGCCCUGAGGAGUCUCUUGGCGGUAGGAGACAGUUCCAUGGAGCCAAAGAGCUUUUCUUGUCUGACCAUUUUGAUGUCCAAAGCGCACACACCAUCGAGGGAAAAUGCAUUGUUCACACCUUUAAAAACUACACGAGGCUUGAGAACGUUGGUGCGGAGGAUUAUUAUUGUAGGUUCGAGUACAAGGCUGCUACUGGUGCAUUCACCCCUGACCGAGUUGCUGUGUACUGUAAAUGUGAAAUGCCUUAUAAUCCAGACGAUCUCAUGGUGCAGUGUGAAGGUUGCAAAGACUGGUAUCAUCCUGCGUGUGUGGGAAUGACGAUUGAAGAAGCAAAGAAGCUUGACCACUUUGUGUGUGCUGAAUGCAGUUCUGAUGAUGAUGUCAAGAAAUCGCAGAACGGGUUUGCUGCGUCUCCAGCUGAUGAUGUCAAGGUUCGUGUGUCUCUCUUUUGUAAGUGCAUGUGUAAAAUGUUCUAUUACUUUACUUUGAUAACCUUAGCCUCUGCCGCUCCUUGUCUAUGCCGAGAAAGAUACACAAUUUUUGUGGUUCUUGGUCCUGUCUGGACCUGAUCUAUGCUUAACGUUGCUCCAGUUUCUUGCUGCAAAACCAUCUGUCUGUGAAGGUGGAAACGAAGCGCAGAAAAAGAUAAUCUCGAGGGGUUUCUCAUGGGUACAAGCCACAGGGGGGCUGGGAAGUUAGUCAUAACUUGGAAGCUCUUUGGUGGGGAUUUUAGUAAGUUAGGUUUUUUCUUGUCUAUGUCGUCAUGGUUGUGAUUAUGUCUGUAUGGUGCUGUUCCAAAACUAAGAGAAAAAAGAGAGAUCGGAGAGAUGUUGAAGACAAGUUAUGGUGGCAGAGUCUGUUGUAUAGACUUUUCCGUGGGGGUCUAAGUUAACUUUAGGUCUGUGUUCAUUGUGGCUAUGUUGUUUUGUUGUGUCUGAUGAGAACAUGAAGAGCGCUUAUGAUUUUGGGCUGUUCCAACAAAAACUAACGUCAUAUCUAUCUUCAA